ensembl:lncRNA
AAAAAACAUCAGACAAAAGGACAGAGAGUGAAAGUGAGGCUGUCUUUGGAAGUACAGGUGUUCAUGUUGACAGUGAUUUCUGCCUUUGUAGAGAGAGACACACAUUCAUCAUGUUGCUCUCUGAGACAUCUUUGGUGCUGCUGAUGGUUUGCGGCACUCAGGCUUCACAUUUUUUAGGCACAGUCAUGACCUACUACCCAAAGGACACUUUUGCAGAUGGAUCUGUCACAGUGACUCUUCGGUAUAAGUUGAACUUCCACGACUGCACAUCUGAUAACAUAUGGAGUUGCCUCAGUGGUGAUUGUGGGACUGGAACCUACACACUACAUGUGGUAAAACAGGAGAGCAGCGGAGACUGGUGUCAGAGAGAGGGAAUCAUGACUCGACGGGUUUCCAGCAACGCUCUGUUCGAGCUUUGGUUGAAUAGUGGUAACUGGAUAUCAAACAUCAAUAACAUCAUAUACUGGAGAGCUGUGACUCGGGUGGAACUGAGGAACCGGUCCGACACCGGCAAAGCCAACACAUCACCUCAGACCACCAUCCUACCAGCUGUGAGAGUUCCUUCAAACUGUCAGAGAGAUUUCAGCCUGUUGAUGUUUGACCCUGAUGGAGACGAAGUUAAAUGCAGAUAUGGAAACUCUGCACUCUCAGAGUGUAACCCCUGCACUCCACCCUCUGUCCUCAGCCUCUCAUCGUCGUCUUGUACUCUGUCAUUCAGCCCCACCAGCAGCAGUAAUGAAGGUUCGUAUGUAGUACAGCUGGUGAUGGAGGACUUCCCCAGACAGACCAUCACUCUGACUCAAACCAACGGGACACAAACAAUAAUAACUACCAACGAUGCCAUCAGCAAAAUACCGAUUCAGUUUGCUUUGAAAGUUGAUCCUGCAGUGCCAUCCUGCACAGAAGGACUCUUUCUGCCCAAGUUUCUUCCUCCAACACCAGCCAACGGAGCUCAGCUCUACAACAAUGUCAGUCAGACUCUGGAAAUUAACAUCAAUGCAGAGGCACUUAACUCCACGAUCUCUGAGCUGCUCUACAGCGGGCCGUACAAUUUAAUCAGUAGUACAUCAGGACCUGGACAGUUCAUCCUGAGAUGGACACCAUCUGAAAGUGAAGAUGGACAAACCCUCCCCAUCUGUUUUGUUGUCCAGGCAGUUUUCAGUGGGACCAAGUAUCACUCAGAGCUUCGAUGUGUCGCUGUGACUGUUGCAAACGGACCAAUAAUAACCACAACAACUACCACCAGUACUCCAACUACUGUACCUGCAACAACUACCACCAGUACUCCAACUACUGUACCUGCAACAACUACUACCAGUACUACAACUACUCCAACUACAACAACUACUACCAGUACUACAACUACUGUACCUGCAACAACUACUACCAGUACUACAACUACUCCAACUACAACAACUACUACCAGUACUACAACUACUGUACCUGCAACAACUACUACCAGUACUACAACUACUCCAACUACUCCAACUAUUACC